rnacentral:lncRNA from 1 species
UAUAUCUUAACUUUUCAGUUUCGACCAUUUUUGGUCACCGAAAACUCUACCGAACUGUAAUCUCUAGCAGAUAGCAGUCGGAUUUUAUUUUUCACUUUUCGGGUGUCAUAAUGAUAUGAAAUUUUAAAUCUAGCCUCAUAAAAAUAAUUCUGACAUAUUCUCCAGUUUUCAUAAUUUUCUGACACUGUGCAUUUUCUGCUAAAAUAUCAGCCCCAUUUCCAAUAGAAAAUUCUAAAUCUUCUGUUUCCGUCCCGAUUUCAGUAUAAGUCAUUUCCGACUUAUAUUUUACUUCUUUAAGUCCAAUAAAAAAUAGUAUCUCAUACUAUUUUUAUUUAUAUUUACUUUUAUAUUAAAAUCCGGUAUAUUACACUCCCCCACAGCAUCCCAUUUCGACGCACAAUCCCGCACGGGCGAGCAUAUGUCGCGAUGGCUAUCUCCAGAGUGCUGGCUU